CAUAUGAGUACACCUAUGAGCCAAUCUGUGAAACACAGCCAUCAGGGGCCCAAACACAUGAUUGUUCAAUUGUAGACACACCAAUCGAGUUUUUUACCGUAA